AGCCUCUACUACCAAUCAACAUUCUUUAGAACAAAAUUUAGUAGUUUCCAUAACUCCUGAUCCUAACCAAGCUUCUACUACCAAUCAACAUUCUUUAGAACAAAACUUAGUAGUUUCCAUAACUCCUGAUCCUAACCAAGUAGCCCCUCAAACUUCUGGUUUUGCCAUAGCCUUUCAAACUUUUAUCUCAAAUCAAAAUAAUUCAGGUGCUUAUCAUGUUAUUAAUUCAGAUGUUGG